rnacentral:lncRNA from 1 species
AUGGACCGCAUGCUGAGGCUGUUCAUCAGAAAUUCUCCCACCUCCGGCUUCACUGAGCUGCAGGACAUCUUGCAGGUCUGCCACUUGCCAAGAGCAGUGUUCCCAGGGGCGCUUCCUCACCCAGAGGGAAUUCAGCAUCCACUGCGGAACGGACAGACCCUACUUCAGUGCCACGCACAGGCAGCACAGGGCAGGAAGGGUGCCCGCCUCCCUUGGGGGAACCGGGGGCUGCCCACUGAGGUCUUCUGGCAGCCCCAUAUCCCACGGGGCUGCUGCUUGCCGAGCCUCAGGGCUUCUGGAAGGUGGAAGGCAGUCCUCAUGGCAGGGACCGAAACCCCGCAGCGCUGCGUCCUCCUCCCUGAGCCCCGCACAGCCCUGAGCCCCUCGAGGUCCUGCUGCCGGCCAUGGGUCUCCCCUCUCACACUCCCCGUUGGUCUCUCAGCCACCCGGCUGCCAGGAUAAAGACCUGAAGAUGAAGUUCCUAAGGAGCAUCAUCAGCGUGUGCAGAAGUGCCAGAAACUGCGACCUGUGGUGCGGCCUUGAUGCCUUCUGCAACAAAUACGAGCUGGCAGAGCAUAUUAAGGUGAUGGGAAACCCCCUGGUGGCUCUGGGAGGGGUGCAAGGGCAGGCUGUGGGGACGGGACUCUCGAGGGCUUUGGCGGGGGCAAGCGCUGCGUGGACACUCAGCUGCCCCUGACGGCCUUGGGGCCAUUGAGAAGCCCCGCCAGCGGAGAGCUCAGCAGCAGGGAGGUGGCAGGGCGGCCCUCUGGGUGCCACAGCUGGCUGGGGGCACUGGGGCUCCACCGGCCCUUCUGACCUGGACCAGCUCUGCUGGCGCUGCCGAGCUGUGCCGCCCGAUGCCCGGUGCCAUCCCGGUUGUGCUCUGCAGGUGCUGCUGGAUGAGGAGCCCUUGGACGUUCUGCACACAGCGGUGCAGCAGCAAGCCAUGCUUGCACUUGGCCACUUGAGGUACGUGCCCAGCCCCUGCUCUGGCCCUGGGCCUGGCUUCCAGGCUUCCCCUGUCUAGGCAGCAGCCUGGCAGUGCCAGCCGCGGGGCCGCUGCUCGCCAAGCCUCGGGGCUUCUGGAAGGUGGAAGGCAGUCCCCAUGGCAGGGACCGAGGCCCCGCAGUGCUGCGUCCUCUUCCCUGAGGCCCUGAGGCCCUGCUCCCAGCACCGUGACAACGAGGCCCCUUGCUUUCUUUGCAGCUAUGUCAACUCAGUGCUGGAGGGCAAGAAGAAGAGCAUCCUGCUCACCUGUUUCAACAGUGUCUUCUUGCUGCCCUCACACGAGUAUUUGGAGUGCCAGAGCCGCAUCUACUACUUGAGGGUAUGCUCUGGGAGAGCUCUUGGAGCACCCAUCCCUCUGGGUUGAUCCCUGGCUGCUCUGUGCUGAGAUCUGUGCAGAUCCUGGCAGAGGGAGAGGGACUGGAGAUCCACUGCCACCCCUUUGUUGUCCUUGCAGACCCUGGACGCCAUGGACCGCAUGCUGAGGCUGUUCAUCAGAAAUUCUCCCCUCUCCGGCUUCAGUGAGCUGCAGGACAUCUUGCAGGUCUGCCACUUGCCAAGAGCAGUGUUCCCAGGGGCGCUUCCUCACCCGGAGGGAAUUCAGCAUCCACUGCGGAACGGACAGACCCUACUUCAGUGCCAAUGCACAGGCAGCACAGGGCAGGAAGGGUGCCCGCCUCCCUUGGGGGAACCGGGGGCUGCCCACUGAGGUCUUCUGGCAGCCCCGUAUCCCCUGGCUGCAGACCUUUCCCCUCCACAGACUCCUCCUGUGUCGGAGAAAAGCCUUGCCCAUGGCACUCCUGGGCUUCCUUUGCGUCUACACAGCGGCAGGAAUUGGACCCCUCUUCCCAGGCACUGCACUGGUCACCACUGGUGCUGCUGCUGUCCACCUGCCUCCCUGUCCGUGGUGCUUUCCUCCCGAGAUCGGAGUGCUGCGGGAGCCCAGCACUGAUGCUCCUGCUUUAGCGGGCAUCAGCUCCCAGGGCAGACCAGCACUUUCUCCCCUCACAGAUUCUGCUGCUCUUUGCCAACUCCCACAGAGAAGCCAUUUGCGAGAGGGCCGUGGGGAGGGCCGCGAAGCUGACCAGCUGGCUAGCCACACGCUUCUCACCGGAGGUAAGGAGCCACGCACCCCUCCAGCCAGCCCACCUCCCCUUCCCCGCAGACCACAUCAGCCUGCAGCUCAGGGGUGCUGCCGAGGCAAGCCCGGCUACAGACCCUCAGCUAGGGCUCAGCCCUGAAGCAAGGGCCUUCAGCCCUCCUUUGCCCAUGGACCCCGAGUGGGGGAUGUUCCCAGUCCCUGAGAGCACUCUUGGGAGCCAGCUCUGCCCCCCGUCCUGUGCAGGCCUCAAGCGCCCAGGGAGCACGGUGGGAGAGCAGGCAUGGCCAAGGCUGCUGACUCACCUGGGAGCCAGCCCUGGGCACACUCUUGGCUCCAGGACUUUGGCCCCAGCUGCCUCCCACAGCACUUCC